rnacentral:lncRNA from 10 species
UUUUCAUUGUUUUAUAUUUUUACACCAUAUAUAUAAAGUAUAAGGUGUUAGAGACUUUUACAUUAACACUGUUUUAUUUUUUAAAUCCAGAUUCUGUUAACUUUACUGUUAGGAAAAAGCAAACAAACCCAUCUAUUGGCAUGUUAAAAAAAAAAUUUCCAGAAAAAUACAUUCUUCCUGAUUAGUGAUUUUUUUUUUUUUUUUGGUAUCACUGUUCUGUUACGUAAUGUUCAGUAAAUAUUUAACAAUAUUCAGAUAAAGAGUCAUCAAUUAGAAAUCUUUACCAAACUUCUUACCCAUAAAGGUUGUCUAUUGGAAUGCAUGUCCAGUGUUUAAAAUUGAACUUUUCAUCCAUGUGUGUAUCAUUGAGAUUUCACUUUCCUUAGCCAGCUGAACAUUGAGACCAGCUUAUUCUGUAGACUUUUAAAAUAAUUUUACCUAUUUUCCCCUUAGACUUAGAAUAAUUGAUCUUACAAUAUUUAUUCUAUGUCAUAAUUUCCUUCUGUGUUAUUUAUUAUAACAUUACAUUAACCAUACAUAUAUUUUAAAAUAAUAGUGGUUUAGUUUUAAAUUACUAUUUUUAUUUUGUUUUUUUUUUUUUCAGAAUGAAGUGCAAACAGCAAAAGAAUUUAUAAAGAUUGUAGAAGCUGCAGAAAAUGAAUACCAGACUGCCAUCAGUGAGAAUUAUCAGACAAUGUCGG